UAAUAAAGAAGAAGAAAAGGAAAUACAAAACUAUUUUCAGGAAGAAAUUGCUUAUUCUGAUUAUUAUUAUGGUUAUGAACUAGAAUUAGAAAAUAAUGAGAAUAAUCCACCACCACCCAAACCA
rnacentral:ribozyme from 1 species